rnacentral:rRNA from 1 species
UACGUAGGUGGCAAGCGUUGUCCGGAUUUACUGGGCGUAAAGAGCGCGCAGGCGGUCGUUCAAGUCGGGUGUGAAAGCCCCCGGCUCAACUGGGGAGGGUCACUCGAUACUGCUCGACUCGAAGGCAGAAGAGGGAAGCGGAAUUCCCGGUGUAGUGGUGAAAUGCGUAGAUAUCGGGAGGAACACCAGUGGCGAAGGCGGCUUUCUGGUCUGCUCUUGACGCUGAGGCGCGAAAGCUAGGGUAGCAAACGGG